UAGCAUAAUCAUUAGUUUUUUAAUUGAAAACUGGCAUGAAAGGUUAAAUAAAAAAUAAUCUUUAUUAAUUUUAAAAUAUUUGAAUUUGUUUUUUUAGUAAAAAAACUAAAAUUUUAUAAAAAGACGAUAAGACCCUAUAAAGCUUUAUAAUAAAAAAUUUAAUAGUUUAUUAGAAUAUUUAAAUUAAUAUUUUUUUUUUAUUUAAUUGGGGUGAUUUAAAGAUUUAAAAAACUCUUUAUUUAAAAUUUCAUUUUUGAAUGUUUUUUGAUCCUUAAAAUUUAAGAAUAAAAAAAUAAGUUACUUUAGGGAUAACAGCGUAAUUUUUUUGAAGAGUUCAAAUCGAUAAAAAAGAUUGCGACCUCGAUGUUGAAUUAAGAUAAAGUUUAGGUGUAGAAGUUUAAAUUUU
rnacentral:rRNA from 1 species